rnacentral:rRNA from 1 species
AGGGCGAAGCCUGAUGCAGCCAUGCCGCGUGUGUGAAGAAGGCCUUCGGGUUGUAAAGCACUUUCAGUCAGGAGGAAAGGGUGUGAGUUAAUACCUCAUAUCUGUGACGUUACUGACAGAAGAAGCACCGGCUAACUCCGUGCCAGCAGCCGCGGUAAUACGGAGGGUGCGAGCGUUAAUCGGAAUUACCGGGCGUAAAGCGUACGCAGGCGGUUUGUUAAGCGAGAUGUGAAAGCCCCGGGCUCAACCUGGGAACUGCAUUUCGAACUGGCAAACUAGAGUGUGAUAGAGGGUGGUAGAAUUUCAGGUGUAGCGGUGAAAUGCGUAGAGAUCUGAAGGAAUACCGAUGGCGAAGGCAGCCACCUGGGUCAACACUGACGCUCAUGUACGAAAGCGUGGGGAGCAAACGGGAUUAGAUACCCCGGUAGUCCACGCCGUAAACGAUGUCUACUAGAAGCUCGGAACCUCGGUUCUGUUUUUCAAAGCUAACGCAUUAAGUAGACCGCCUGGGGAGUACGGCCGCAAGGUUAAAACUCAAAUGAAUUGACGGGGGCCCGCACAAGCGGUGGAGCAUGUGGUUUAAUUCGAUGCAACGCGAAGAACCUUACCUACACUUGACAUACAGAGAACUUUCUAGAGAUAGAUUGGUGCCUUCGGGAACUCUGAUACAGGUGCUGCAUGGCUGUCGUCAGCUCGUGUUGUGAGAUGUUGGGUUAAGUCCCGCAACGAGCGCAACCCCUAUCCUUGGUUGCUAGCAGGUAAUGCUGAGAACUCUAAGGAGACUGCCGGUGAUAAACCGGANGAAGGUGGGGA